rnacentral:rRNA from 1 species
UAGCAUAUCAAUAAGCGGAGGAAAAGAAACCAACAGGGAUUGCCUCAGUAACGGCGAGUGAAGCGGCAACAGCUCAAAUUUGAAAUCUGGCCCCGUCGGGGUCCGAGUUGUAAUUUGUAGAGAGUGUUUCGGGCGAGACCACGGUCUAAGUCUAUUGGAACAUGGCGUCAUAGAGGGUGAGAAUCCCGUAUGUGACCGUGGCUCGAGCCCAUGUGAAGCCUCUUCGACGAGUCGAGUUGUUUGGGAAUGCAGCUCAAAAUGGGUGGUAAAUUUCAUCUAAAGCUAAAUACUGGCUGGAGACCGAUAGCGCACAAGUAGAGUGAUCGAAAGAUGAAAAGCACUUUGGAAAGAGAGUCAAAAAGUACGUGAAAUUGUUGAAAGGGAAGCGCUUGCAACCAGACCUGUCCGUAGGUGAUCAGCCGCUGUUCUCAGCGGUGCACUCGCUCUGCGAUCAGGCCAGCAUCGGUUUCGGCGGUCGGAUAAAGGCCUUGGGAAUGUAGCUUCCUUCGGGGAGUCUUAUAGCCCUCGGUGCAAUGCGGCCAGCCGGGACCGAGGACCGCGCUUCGGCUAGGAUGCUGGCGUAAUGGUUGUAAGCGACCCGUCUUGAAACACGGACCAAGGAGUCUACCAUCUAUGCGAGUGUUUGGGUGUCAAACCCAUGCGCGGAAUGAAAGUGAACGGAGGUGAGAACCCUUUAGGGCGCAUCAUCGACCGAUCCAGAUGUCUUCGGAUGGAUUUGAGUAUGAGCAUAGCUGGUGGGACCCGAAAGAUGGUGAACUAUGCCUGAAUAGGGUGAAGCCAGAGGAAACUCUGGUGGAGGCUCGCAGCGGUUCUGACGUGCAAAUCGAUCGUCAAAUUUGGGUAUAGGGGCGAAAGAC